rnacentral:rRNA from 1 species
UACGUAGGGUGCGAGCGUUAAUCGGAAUUACUGGGCGUAAAGCGUGCGCAGGCGGUUUCUCAAGUCAGUGGUGAAAGCCCGGAGCUCAACUCCGGAACUGCCAUUGAAACUGUGAAACUUGAGGACGAGAGAGGUGAGUGGAAUUCCCAGUGUAGAGGUGAAAUUCGUAGAUAUUGGGAAGAACACCAGUGGCGAAGGCGGCUCACUGGCCCGGUACGUGACGCUGAGGUGCGAAAGCGGUGGGGAGCAAACAGGG